rnacentral:rRNA from 1 species
UGGGGAAUUUUGGACAAUGGGCGCAAGCCUGAUCCAGCCAUGCCGCGUGCGGGAAGAAGGCCUUCGGGUUGUAAACCGCUUUUGUUCGGGAAGAAAUCCCUUGGGAUAAUACCUUGAGGGGAUGACGGUACCGGAAGAAUAAGCACCGGCUAACUACGUGCCAGCAGCCGCGGUAAUACGUAGGGUGCAAGCGUUAAUCGGAAUUACUGGGCGUAAAGCGUGCGCAGGCGGUUGUGCAAGACAGAUGUGAAAUCCCCGGGCUUAACCUGGGAACUGCAUUUGUGACUGCACGGCUAGAGUGCGGCAGAGGGGGAUGGAAUUCCGCGUGUAGCAGUGAAAUGCGUAGAUAUGCGGAGGAACACCGAUGGCGAAGGCAAUCCCCUGGGCCUGCACUGACGCUCAUGCACGAAAGCGUGGGGAGCAAAC